AGCUCGUAGUUGAACGUUCGGGUUCCGCGGGACGGGGCCGCCCCGCGAGGGACGGCGCCGCCCCGGGGCUCGUGAUAUCUCAUCUCGCCGCCCGUCGCGAGGCGGACGGAGGGAUGGAUGAGGUUACCUGGAAAAAAUCGGGGCGAUCUAGGCGGGCGAACCUCGCCAACGAACGAUCGGACAUGGGAUAACGGAAGAGGGCGUCGGCUCGACUUCGUCGGUUCCUCGGGCCGAGGCACGUACGGUGAAUAGGGACGGUCGGGGCCGCCCGUACCGGGUCGUGAGAGGUGAAAUUCUAGGAUCGACCCGAGACGAACCGCCGCGAAAGCAUUCGGCAAGGACGCUUUCAUUAAUCAAGACGAAAGUCGGGGAUCGAAGACGAUCAGAUACCGUCGUAGUCCCGACCGUAAACGAUGCCGACCGAGGG
rnacentral:rRNA from 1 species